GAUGAACGCUGGCGGCGUGCCUAAUACAUGCAAGUAGAACGCUGAAGGAAGGAGCUUGCUCUUUCCGGAUGAGUUGCGCACGGGUGAGUAACGCGUAGGUAACCUGCCUGGUAGCGGGGGAUAACUAUUGGAAACGAUAGCUAAUACCGCAUAACAGUAUAUUUUGCAUGAUAUCUACUUAAAAGGUGCAAUUGCACCACUACCAGAUGGACCUGCGUUGUAUUAGCUAGGUGGUGAGGUAACGGCCCACCAAGGGGAGGAUACAUUGCCGAACUGAGAGGGUGGGCGGCCAAACUGGGACGGAGACAAGGCCCAGACUCCUACGGGAGGGAGCCGGAGGGAAUCUUCGGGAAUGGACGGAAGUCUGACCGAGCAAGGCCGCGUGAGGGAAGAAGGUUUUCGGGUCGUAAAGAUCUGUUGUAAGGGAAGAAAGAGUGUGAGAGUGGAAAGUUCACACUGUGACGGUAUCUUACCAGAAAGGGACGGCUAACUACGUG
rnacentral:rRNA from 1 species